GCCACCUCCUCUGUUAGUUUUCCCACCCCGGUCCUAGGGCGCUCCUCCACGCCUCUCCCAUCAGCUGUGUUGUAGAGCACUGCACUGCAAGAGGUGUCAUGAUUCAGAAGUAAUGUGCUGGAUAACGAGAGUCCUUCUGAAACCUGUGCUACUUCCAGUGCCUCCAGGUUCUUGUUUUUAAGGUCACAGCAAUUUACACAUGAUCUACAGCAGAGAAGAUGAGAAAGGGAGACAGAGAGAAAGCCACUUACAUAAACCUGGUACUCACAGCAGCCAUUUCUGAGGUGGAUAUAUUUUAUGGAUCUCACAUCAUAAAAGGUCUUUUCGUCUCUGCCAUAGUCACAGCAGAAUUGUUUCAAGUGCUGAAAGCCUGGAGUGUCCCACUGUCUCUGCUCACUUACAGAGUGAAGCUUUCUUCAUGGUGAAGUUUCAAAGACCCUGCUCAGCUCAUUGGAGUUGGGGUACAGCAAACAAGGAGCCUUGUGGAGCACAGGAGGUGGUGGUUGCUCCUCUUCCUCUGGUGCAAACCUUGGUGACGUGAGCAGUGAACCUCCCUUAAGGGCAUUGACAGGUUCCAUCUUCUUACUCCUUUAUUUGAUGGGGUUAUGAGAGACCAAUGGCGAAUUCUGUGAAGUGAGAUGAGUUGCUACAAACUGAGAAGAAUGGUGGCCCUUCAGCUGUCAUGUCCUAAAGGGACUAGGGAGGAACUAGCACCUCGUGGCUUGCGUUGAGCUCAUUAGAUGCAGUGUAAUCUGGACAAGAUGACAAUAGC